rnacentral:miRNA from 1 species
UCUCUCUCAACCAACCAUAC